GCGGUUAAAAAGCUCGUAGUUGGAUUUCUGUUGAGGACGGCCGGUCCGCACUAUGUGCGUGUAUCUGGUUCGGCCUUGGCAUCCUCUUGAGGAACGUUCCUGCGCUUGAUUGCGUGGGGCGGUAUUCAAGACUUUUACUUUGAGGAAAUUAGAGUGUUCACGGCAGGCAAGCGCCUUGAAUACAUUAGCAUGGAAUAAUAAUAUAGGAUCUUGGUUCUAUUUGUUGGUUU
rnacentral:rRNA from 1 species